rnacentral:tRNA from 1 species
GCGCGAUUAGCUCAGUGGUAGAGCGCUUCGUUGACAUCGAAGAGGCCGUAGGUCCGAUUCCUACAUCGCGCACAA